rnacentral:rRNA from 1 species
UACGGGGGGGGCAAGCGUUGUUCGGAAUUACUGGGCGUAAAGGGCUCGUAGGCGGCCAACUAAGUCGGACGUGAAAUCCCCCGGCUUAACCUGGGAACUGCGUCUGAUACUGGACGGCUUGAGUAUGGGAGAGGGAUGUAGAAUUCCAGGUGUAGCGGUGAAAUGCGCAGAUAUCAGGAGGAACACCAAUGGCGAAGGCAGCACUCUGGGACGUGACUGACGCUGAGACGCGAAAGCGUGGGGAGCAAACAGG